rnacentral:rRNA from 1 species
GAUGAACGCUGGCGGCGUGCUUAACACAUGCAAGUCGAACGGAAAGGCUCCUGCUUGCAGGGGUACUCGAGUGGCGAACGGGUGAGUAACACGUGGGUGAUCUGCCCUGCACUUCGGGAUAAGUCUGGGAAACUGGGUCUAAUACCGGAUAGGACGACGGUCUGGAUGCUAUGGUGGGAAGUUUUUGCGGUGUGGGAUGUGCUCGCGGCGUAUCAGCUUGUUGGUGGGGUAGUGGCCUACCAAGGCGUCGACGGGUAGCCGGCCUGAGAGGGUGUACGGCCACAUUGGGACUGAGAUACGGCCCAGACUCCUACGGGAGGCAGCAGUGGGGAAUAUUGCACAAUGGGCGGAAGCCUGAUGCAGCAACGCCGCGUGGGGGAUGACGGCCUUCGGGUUGUAAACUGCUUUCGCUAGGGACGAAGCGCAAGUGACGGUACCUGGAGAAGAAGCACCGGCUAACUACGUG